rnacentral:rRNA from 1 species
GCAGCAGGCGCGCAAAUUACCCAAUCCUGACACAGGGAGGUAGUGACAAUAAAUAACAAUACCGGGCUUUUCAAGUCUGGUAAUUGGAAUGAGUACAAUCUAAAUCCCUUAACGAGGAUCAAUUGGAGGGCAAGUCUGGUGCCAGCAGCCGCGGUAAUUCCAGCUCCAAUAGCGUAUAUUUAAGUUGCUGCAGUUAAAAAGCUCGUAGUUGGAUUUCGGAUGGGUUCCGUCGGUCCGCCGCUUCGGUGUGCACCGGCGGCGCCCAUCUUGCUGCCGGGGACGGGCUCCUGGGCUUAAUUGUCCGGGACUCGGAGUCGGCGAGGUUACUUUGAGUAAAUUAGA